UACGGACACACCAUAUCGAAAUACCGGUUCCCGUACGUUUACCGAAGGAAAGCAAUGUCAAGCUUGGUCAGUACCGAGAUGGGUGAUCGCUUGAGAAUACCAGCUGCUGUA